rnacentral:misc_RNA from 1 species
GAGCAGCAUCAUCUCUCCGUGUAAAAAUAAGGCCUAAUACUUGGGCUGGAAGAUUGGUUUUGGCUGUGAUAUUUGCAGUUGGAGUUGCACUAAUUUUUACCAGUGUUAAAUGUUUCUAUGGAGGCAAUGGUGCUGAGGAACCUUACCCAUUUAAGGGUUCCUACUCUCAAUUUACUCUAUUAACGAUGACAUAUGAUGCCCGCCUCUGGAAUUUGAAAAUGUAUGUUAAGCAUUACUCGAGGUGUUCUUCAGUUAAAGAGAUUGUUGUGGUUUGGAAUAAAGGGACACCCCCCAAAUUGAGUGAUCUGGAUUCUGUGGUGCCUGUUAGGAUCAGAGUAGAAAAUCGGAAUUCACUUAACAAUCGGUUCAAAAAGGAUGAAUUGAUAAAGACCCGUGCUGUACUUGAGCUUGAUGAUGACAUUAUGAUGACUUGUGAUGACAUUGAGAGAGGAUUCAAUGUAUGGCGCCAACAUCCUGACCGGAUUGUUGGUUUCUAUCCACGACUCAUUAGUGGAAGCCCAUUAAAGUACAGAGGUGAGAAAUAUGCCCGAAAACAUAAAGGUUAUAACAUGAUUCUUACUGGGGCAGCAUUCGUAGACAGUAAAGUAGCCUUUGAGAGGUAUUGCGGUGAGGAAGCUAAGCGUGGGAGGGAUUUGGUGGACAAAUAUUUUAACUGUGAGGAUGUGCUAUUGAAUUACUUGUAUGCAAAUGCAAGUACAUCUGGUACAGUUGAAUAUGUGAGACCAACAUGGGCAAUAGAUACGUCAAAAUUCUCUGGUGCUGCAAUUAGCCGAAAUACGCAAUUGCAUUACAAGGUUAGAAGUAAUUGCCUCCAGAAAUUUUCUGAGAUGUAUGGAAGUAUAGGUGGCCGGAAAUCAGAAUUUCAAUGGCGAAAGGAUGGCUGGGGUUCAUAGUGAUAGUGAAGAGCUAAUUCUAGAAGCAAGUCUCACACUCAUUAAUCUGUGUAUCGUCAUCAUCCUUUCGGUAGAUUCUUGUCUUGUUACUACAGUUUUAUACCCCUGCUUGUGAAGAUUUUUGUGUUAGGGGAAUUUUAAUAUUGAUAUCUUUGUUUGACAAGAUGUACAUUAUCUUUUUACCCAUUUUUAGAGUUGAUAAGAUAUGUACAUUGGUUUUUU